rnacentral:rRNA from 1 species
UACGGGGGGAGCAAGCGUUGUUCGGAUUUACUGGGCGUAAAGGGCGCGUAGGCGGUCGUGACAAGUCACUUGUGAAAUCUCCGGGCUUAACUCGGAACGGUCAAGUGAUACUGUCGGACUAGAGUACAGAAGGGGCAACUGGAAUUCUCGGUGUAGCGGUGAAAUGCGUAGAUAUCGGGAGGAACACCAGUGGCGAAGGCGGGUUGCUGGGCUGAUACUGACGCUGAGACGCGAAAGCGUGGGGAGCAAACAGG